UAGGGAAUCUUCCGCAAUGGACGAAAGUCUGACGGAGCAACGCCGCGUGAGCGAAGAAGGUCUUCGGAUCGUAAAGCUCUGUUGUUAGGGAAGAACAAGUACCGGAGUAACUGUCGGUACCUUGACGGUACCUAACCAGAAAGCCACGGCUAACUACGUGCCAGCAGCCGCGGUAAUACGUAGGUGGCAAGCGUUGUCCGGAAUCAUUGGGCGUAAAGCGCGCGCAGGCGGUCCUUUAAGUCUGAUGUGAAAUCUUGCGGCUCAACCGCAAGCGGUCAUUGGAAACUGGGGGACUUGAGUGCAGGAGAGGAAAGCGGAAUUCCAUGUGUAGCGGUGAAAUGCGUAGAGAUAUGGAGGAACACCAGUGGCGAAGGCGGCUUUCUGGCCUGUAACUGACGCUGAGGCGCGAAAGCGUGGGGAGCAAACAGGAUUAGAUACCC
rnacentral:rRNA from 1 species